rnacentral:rRNA from 1 species
GCUUGUCUCAAAGAUUAAGCCAUGCAUGUCUAAGUAUAAACAACUUUGUACUGUGAAACUGCGAAUGGCUCAUUAUAUCAGUUAUAGUCUACUCGAUAGUACCUUACUACUUGGAUAACCGUAGUAAUUCUAGAGCUAAUACAUGCGUAAAUACCCAACUGCUUGUCGGACGGGUAGCAUUUAUUAGAUAAAGCCAACGCUGGGUAAAACCAGUUUCCCUUGGUGAUUCAUAAUAAUUAAGCGGAUCGCAUGGCCUUGUGCUAGCGACAGUCCACUCGAUUUUCUGCCCUAUCAUGGUUGAGAUUGUAAGAUAGAGGCUUACAAUGCCUACAACGGGUAACGGGGAAUUAGGGUUCGAUUCCGGAGAGGGAGCCUGAGAAACGGCUACCACAUCCAAGGAAGGCAGCAGG